UACAGGGGGUGCAAACGUUGCUCGGAAUUAUUGGGCGUAAAGCGCGCGCAGGCGGUUUUUUAAGUUCGUGGUGAAAGACCGGGGCUCAACCCCGGAGCGUCCGCGAAGACUGGAAGACUGGAGUGUCGGAGAGGAGUGCGGAAUACCUGGUGUAGCGGUGGAAUGCGUAGAGAUCAGGUGGAACACCGAUGGCGAAGGCAGCACUCUGGCCGAAUACUGACGCUGAGGCGCGAAAGCGUGGGGAGCGAACGGG
rnacentral:rRNA from 1 species